GACUUGUCUGCCCUGCGGUUGACAGGAGUGUGGAGUGUGUGCCCUUUGGGCCAUUACCACACACGCUCUGGCCCAUGAGUCCUGUGUCUUGGUGCAAGCCCUGUGCGUCACCACAGCAACCUCCAUCGCACCCUGAGUUUUCAGAUGAGGACACGGAGGUUCAGAAUGGACGGGCAGAUGGAUGGAGACGCGAGCACAUGGCUGGGGACAGGCAGGGCACUGGGCCUAUGUAGAACACAGAUGUAUCCCAGGCUGUCUGGCUACUCCUCAGGCCAGUAGCUAGUCUUUAUCCAACAAAUAGGGUCCCUUCAGAAAUUUCCAAGAGCAAAGCUGGCCCUGGCAGGCCCCGGUCCUCUGAGAGGGCCUGGGGGGACCUGGCUUGUCUGGAGUGACAACAGCUGUCACCCAGCCCCAGACCGACUCUGCUCCAGGUGAAGGGCUUUCUACAGGAAAUGCCCAGAUUCCCAGGAUCUCAUCGGAGCUGCCCGUGUCCCCCCUCCAGCCCCUUUCUCCCCUGGAAGGAUUUUUUUGCUCCCCUGGGAAGGUGGACGGGCAGGGUAAAGGGCCUGGGUUAGAACCCCGCCCCUGCCCCCCUUGCUGCAGGGCCUCAAGCAGCGCCCCUAACCCCUCUGGGCCUCGGUUCCCUUUCUUGUCGGCUUCCAGGGAAAUAAAUGCAAGUCCAAACCCAACUGAGCUCACACAGAGCAGCGGGGCUGGGAUCACAAAGGCAGUGAGUGCUGGUGAGGACGGAGAGGAGCAGGACCCUUCACGCGCUGCUGGUGGAGACUUGACCCAGCGGCUGCUGACAACCUCAGACAGGUCCUGGGGGUGUCAAUCACAGGGGACUGAAGACAGACGUCUGCACAAACCCCGUGAAGGAAUAUUCAAGCAGCAUUGUCACGACAGCCCGGGAUGGGAAGAACACACACGUGCGGGCACUGAGGGGUGGCCAAAUAAAACGUGCUCCAUCCAGACAGUGGAGUAUUAUUUGGCAAUAAAAAGAAGAGGUAUUCUGAGCCACGCUCCAUCACAGAUGGACCUUGAGAGCAUCGUGCUGGGUGAAAGCAACCAGACCCCAAAGCCGCCAUACAAGGAGUCAUACGAAAUGCCCAGAAUAGAAAAAUCCCUAGAGACGAAAGUCAGGUGGGGCAUCCCUGAUGGAGGCGGAGCGAAGCGCCUGCUAACGCGCACGGAUUUCCUCUGGGGGCAAUGCCCGUUUCUAGAGUCGACUGUGGUGGCGGCUGCCCAAUGGUGUGAACAGACUGAAAGCCACUGAGCGGAUUCCCCAGAUGGGGCUGGGGACCAAACCUGGGACUCUCGUACCAGCGAGGAAAGUGCUCCAGCGCAGAGCCACACCCCAGCCUUGUUUUUCCUCCUGUGGUUACAAUGAUUCUGAGAAGCCUCCCACAGCUUUGCCAUUGGCCAGAAGAGGCCGAGGCGCCUGACCUAAGCCGAUCCUGACAGUUCCACUGUCCUAGCCAAGGCCGGCUUAACAAUCGUCAUGUGAUCCGGCGAUGGCCAAUGAGGUGUGAACCCUGCUGGGGGAAGGGAGUCCUGGGAAAGUUCCUUGACUGUUAAAAAGAGACUCUCUUGGUGUCUGAGCGAGGGAGGGCUGGGAAUUUCUUCCGCCACUGGGCUUCCAUGAGGAGAGCCGUGAUCCUUGUAGAUGGCAGGGAUGACCAACGGGAAAAGCCUGGGACUCUGAGGAUGCCGUGGAGCUGGUGGCUGAGCCAGACUCAGAGCCACCCUCCCUUCAGACUCAUGCUUUGACCAAUACACCUCUUAAAAUCCA